rnacentral:lncRNA from 1 species
GCUCCUGGCUCUUGCCGGGCAGGCGGACGCUCACUCGGCUUUCGGACCCUCGAGAAGCCUUAGGCUCUGUCGUGACGCGAGCGGGCGGCAGACACCACGGUAGCUCCAAGGUCCCCGCUGAGAGGAGGACGGCGUCACUGAACUGACGAAGCCGAUAAGCUUCUCUCCAUCACAGUGUUUCACCCAGAUCCACUCUGAUUCAGCUCUCCCAGCUCCACAGCCCCCGCGUGCCAGCAGGAGCAGAGGCACCCAGGCUGCCUCUUUAUGGGGUUUCUUCUCGUGGACACUCAAGACAUGGCACCUGCAUUUGGCCCCGGAAAUGGGCCCCAAAGGCCUCAGGGGCUCCCGACCUUCCCGGCACCCAGGUCCUGCCGAGCUCCCACGAGGGCACCCCACUACCUGCGCCCGUCACCUGUGCCUUCCCAGCUGGGAUCACGAGGUGGGAGCUGGGAGGUGGGGGGUUCUCCCCGUUGAGGAGGAAGCGUGGCCUGGCAACACCGUGGUUUCUGACUUCCAGCUUUCAGAACCCACUUCCUGUUGUUGGAGCGGCUGGUCUGCACCCUCGGAUUGGGACGGAGGCUGCCGUGGGCUGAAGCACUGGACAACUCCAAGGGCAGCGCCUGCCACAUGCGGCUCAGGACUCAGGCCCUUUGAUCUACGGCACCUCCACGUCAGCUCGUCUUCCAAGAGCACCACCGCAGAACAGCCUGGAGAUGCAUCCUGGCUGUCAAACGCUUCCGCUGGGGAGUGACACGUGUCACUUCCACUGACGCUUCACUGCCAUAGCUAAUCUCAUGGCCACACCAAAUGUCAAGGGGACAUAUGCCCAGAAGGAGAGAGGUCCAGAAAUCUUGGUGAGUGCGAGUCAUGUAGCCAUGGAGGCCAAGAACGUGUGUGUACUGCGGGGGCGGGGAGUCCAGGCAGGAAAAGGAGCCAAGAGACCAGGAAACUGGGAUGGGUGGCGCAGAGCGAGCUGGCCGGGAGGAGUGAGAGGGGCUGACGGGGAGGCAGGGGGCAGCCCUCACUCCAGGAUGAUGAUUCUCGCCUAAGCACAACUGAAUGUCUUAGAGCAAGGAAGGCAGGCUGUGGGACUUGUGCGUUACAAAGGUGGUUGGGGUUGUUGUUGGAGAAGUGGAUGGAGAGGCUGCUGAAAUAGUCCAGGCCAGAAACGUGGUAGCUUGGAUGAGGGGUCUCGCAAGGGAGAGAAAUGGCGCAAUGGAGAGAUGCCUUAGUGGGCGAAUCCACGGGGUGGGUGAUGGACUGGAAUGGAGGGAGAAGGAAGGCUUGAGGCUGACGGCACAGUUUCUGGGCAACUAGAAAGAUGGAAGUGCCACGUACCAGGGCAGAGAAGACUGCAGGAGAAGCAGAGAGAGAGAGAGAGAGAGAGAGAGAGUGCGUGUGUGUGUGUGUUGGGAGAACAGCACAUCAGAAACAAGUCCUGGUUCUCCGUGGUAUUGAUAUUCGAUGAGCAAAAGCUCCGCUCUUCCACUGACGGGGCACUGGAGACCCCAGAUGCUCUCUCCUCUCACUCAGGCCUCUCCGCCAGGUGCAGAUGUCACCACCUCCCUGCACAGCGUAAGUUUCCACUGUGCCACCCAUGUUCAGAGGAGAAAGGUUCAGUGACAUUUUUAGGAUUAUUUGUGAACUGAGUUGUUGAGAUUCCCCAACACACCUUUUGCCCAGCACAUUUAUUGCUCACCUGCUCUAAGCAGCCACGAGGUGUCUGGAGCUCCCUCUGCGCCCCCCGUCCCCCGGCCAACACCCUUCCUGGCUUCAGUGACUCUGUAAAUGGAGUGAGCCGGGGCCAAACACGUGAGGACGCUGGAGAAGCUUCGACUUUAUGUUCCGCUCUACCCUGCGAUUCUGAGAAAUGUCAGGUUUUCGUGGGAGAGAUGGGUUGCCUGGGAGAUGCGCCUAUCAGGCCAGAUUUGCAGUGGUCUGAAAAACAACACUGACGUGACGAAAAGCAGGC